GCUCAUGCCCUGACCCCGGUGGACACAUUUUGAACCCUGUUGUGCCCUGGAUGAUGGUGCUCACUCCAGCCUUUACUAUUCUCACCUCCUUCAUUUCCUUUAUUCUGGUGUAUCUCUUCUGUCAGAAAACAGAUAAGGAACCUCAAAUUCUCCAGAAAAGACUUAACACCAGGAUUCAAACAAGAUGGGAUCAGGAUGAAGAUUUGUGUUUCACACGAGUUGUGUUCCGAGCGAAGGAUGGAAGAAAACAACAAUAGACGGAAAAUGGACAACAAUAUCACAUUCACACUGUUUAGGCAGAAACAAACUAAAGUGCAAGGAGUUCAGAUUCAGAAGGUUUACAUUCAUGUGCUCAGUUUAAGUAUUCAAUCCCUCCUGCUUUUCUCUCAGUUGUUGUGCCAAUCUGUUAGAUCAUGAAGUGUUGACAUGUUUUAUAAAGAUUGGGUUUAG